CGGCGGACGGGUGAGUAACGCGUGGGUAACCUGCCUCAUGCAGGGGGAUAACAGUUAGAAAUGACUGCUAAUACCGCAUAAGACCACAGCACCGCAUGGUGCAGGGGUAAAAACUCCGGUGGUAUGAGAUGGACCCGCGUCUGAUUAGCUAGUUGGUAAGGUAACGGCUUACCAAGGCGACGAUCAGUAGCCGACCUGAGAGGGUGACCGGCCACAUUGGGACUGAGACACGGCCCAA
rnacentral:rRNA from 1 species